rnacentral:rRNA from 1 species
UACGGGGGGUGCAAGCGUUGUUCGGAAUUACUGGGCGUAAAGGGCUCGUAGGCGGCCAACUAAGUCGGAUGUGAAAUCCCCAAGCUUAACUUGGGAACUGCAUCCGAUACUGGAUGGCUUGAGUUCGGGAGAGGGAUGCGGAAUUCCAGGUGUAGCGGUGAAAUGCGUAGAUAUCUGGAGGAACACCGGUGGCGAAGGCGGCAUCCUGGACCGACACUGACACUGAGGAGCGAAAGCCAGGGGAGCAAACGGG